rnacentral:lncRNA from 1 species
UUGCAUUUGAUAUGCUUCAUUUUCAAUAAUUAUAUGGACUUCAUUCUCUAGAUCUUCAUCAUUCGGGCAUGUGAAAAGUGCGGGAUCAAACAAAUGCCUAUGCUGAGCCCUUAUUGCAACUCGCCAAGGCUCUUUCAUUUUGUUAUCAUCAAUAUACCACACUAGUCUCGCUUGCUUUGCAAAAAUAUAAGGAUCACUUUCGUACCAUACAUGACCAGUGUGGACACUGAUGAGUUGAGGAUCUAUAAUAAUUGGCC